rnacentral:rRNA from 1 species
UACAGAGGUCUCAAGCGUUGUUCGGAUUCAUUGGGGCGUAAAGGGUGCGUAGGCGGCACGGUAAGUCGGGUGUGAAAUCUCGGAGCUUAACUCCGAAACUGCAUUCGAUACUGCCGUGCUUGAGGACUGGAGAGGAGACUGGAAUUUACGGUGUAGCGGUGAAAUGCGUAGAUAUCGUAAGGAAGACCAGUGGCGAAGGCGGGUCUCGUGGACAGUUCCUGACGCUGAGGCACGAAGGCCAGGGGAGCAAACGGG